AGAGUUUGAUUCUGGCUCAGAACGAACGCUGGCAGCGUGGAUGAGGCAUGCAAGUCGAACGGGAUCCAGGGUGUAGCAAUACAACCUGGUGAGAGUGGCGUAAGGGUGAGGACAACGUGGGUAACCUACCCUGAAGUUGGGGAUAACCCGCCGAAAGGUGGGCUAAUACCGGAUACGGUUUUCUCUCGCAUGAGAGGAGGACCAAAGGCGGGGACUCUUCGGAACCUGUCGCUUCAGGAGGGGCCCGCGUCCCAUCAGCUAGUUGGUGAGGUAAUGGCUCACCAAGGCUUACGGGUAGCUGGUCUGAGAGGAUGGUCAGCCACACUGGGACUGAGACACUGCCCAGACUCCUACGGGAGGCUGCAGUCGAGGAUCAUUUGCAAUGGGCGAAAGCCUGACAGUGCGACGCUGCGUGGAGGAUGAAGGCCUUCGGGUCGUAAACUCCUGUCAUUCGGGAACAAUAGCAGGGGAGUUAAUAUUUCCUCUGUUUGAUGGUACCGGAAGAGGAAGCCACGGCUAACUCUGUGCCAGCAGCCGCGGUAAUACAGAGGUGGCGAGCGUUGUUCGGAUUUACUGGGCGUAAAGGGUGCGUAGGCGGCCUCGUGUGUCGGAUGUGAAAUCCCACUGCUCAACGGUGGAACUGCAUCCGAAACUGCGGGGCUAGAGUACAGUAGGGGAGAGCGGAAUUCUUGGUGUAGCGGUGAAAUGCGUUGAUAUCAAGAAGAACACCGGUGGCGAAGGCGGCUCUCUGGAAUGUAACUGACGCUGAGGCACGAAAGCUGGGGGAGCAAACAGGAUUAGAUACCCUGGUAGUCCCAGCCCUAAACGGUGUGCACUUGGUGUGGGGAGAUUUGACCCUCUCCGUGCCGUAGUUAACACGAUAAGUGCACCGCCUGGGGAGUACGGCCGCAAGGUUAAAACUCAAAGAAAUUGACGGGGGCCCGCACAAGCGGAGGAGCAUGUGGCUUAAUUCGAUCCACGCGAAGAACCUUACCUGGGCUUGACAUGCAGCUGCAGUCCCGAUGAAAGUUGGGAUGCCUUCGAGGGUGCUGCACAGGUGCUGCAUGGCUGUCGUCAGUUCGUGCCGUGAGGUGUUUGGUUAAGUCCAGCAACGAACGCAACCCCUGUGUCUAGUUGCCACCCCCGGUGAUGAAUCGGGGAGCACUUUAGACAGACUGCCCGUGUAAGCGGGAGGAAGGUGGGGAUGACGUCAAGUCAGUAUGGCCCUUACGCCCAGGGCUGCACACGUGCUACAAUGGGAGUUACAGAAGGAUGCAAGACCGCGAGGUGGAGCAAAUCCUGAAAAGCUUCCUCAGUUCAGAUUGAAGUCUGCAACUCGACUUCAAGAAGUCGGAUUCGCUAGUAACGGCGUAUCAGCUACGACGCCGUGAAUACGUUCCCGGGCCUUGUACACACCGCCCGUCACAUCAUGAAAGCCGUCUGCACCCGAAGUCACUGUCUCAACCCGCAAGGGGGAUAGGUGCCGAAGGUGUGGGUGGUGAUUGGGAUCAAGUCGGAACAAGGUA
rnacentral:rRNA from 1 species